AACGAACGCUGGCGGCAUGCCUAACACAUGCAAGUCGAACGAGACCUUCGGGUCUAGUGGCGCACGGGUGCGUAACGCGUGGGAACCUGCCCUUAGGUUCGGAAUAACUCCCCGAAAGGGGUGCUAAUACCGGAUAAUGUCUUCGGACCAAAGAUUUAUCGCCUUUGGAUGGGCCCGCGUUGGAUUAGCUAGUUGGUAGGGUAAAAGCCUUCCAAGGCGACGAUCCAUAGCUGGUCUGAGAGGAUGAUCAGCCACACCGGGACUGAGACACGGCCCAGACUCCUACGGGAGGCAGCAGUGGGGAAUAUUGGACAAUGGGCGAAAGCCUGAUCCAGCAAUGCCGCGUGAGUGAUGAAGGCCUUAGGGUUGUAAAGCUCUUUUACCCGGGAUGAUAAUGACAGUACCGGGAGAAUAAGCUCCGGCUAACUCCGUG
rnacentral:rRNA from 1 species